CCUGGCGGCACUAGCGCGGUGGUCCCACCUGACCCCAUACCGAACUCAGAAGUGAAACGCCGUAGCGCCGAUGGUAGUGUGGGGUCUCCCCAUGUGAGAGUAGGGAACUGCCAGGC
rnacentral:rRNA from 1 species